AUUUGCAUGAAAUAUCUUUUUCCAUCUCCUUACUUUCAGUGUGUAUGUGUCUCUAGGUCUGAAGUGGGUCUCUUGUAGACAGCAAAUAUAUGGGUCUUGUUUUUGUAUCCAUUCAGCCAAUCUGUGUCUUUUGGUGGGAGCAUUUAGUCCAUUUCCAUUUAAGGUAAUUAUCGAUAUGUAUGUUCCUAUUCCCAUUUUCUUAAUUGUUUUGGGUUUGUUAUUGUAGGUCUUUUCCUUCUUUGUGUUUCUUGCCUAGAGAAGUUCCUUUAGCAGUUGUUGUAGAGCUGGUUUGGUGGUGCUGAACUCUCUCAGCUUUUGCUUGUCUGUAAAGGUUUUAAUUUCUCCAUCAAAUCUGAAUGAGAUCCUUGCUGGGUAGAGU